UUCCGGUUGAUCCCGCCGGACCUGACUGCUAUCGGAUUGAUACUAAGCCAUGCGAGUCAUUGUAGCAAUACAAGGCAGACGGCUCAGUAACGCGUAGUCAACCUACCUUAUGGACGGGGAUAACCUCGGGAAACUGAGAAUAAUACCUGAUAGAACAUUAUGCCUGGAAUGGUUUAUGUUUCAAAUAAUUUAUUGCCGUAAGAUGGGACUGCGGCCUAUCAGUUUGUUGGUGAGGUAAUGGCCCACCAAGACUAUUACAGGUACGGGCUCUGAGAGGAGUAGCCCGGAGAUGGGUACUGAGACACGGACCCAGGCCCUAUGGGGCGCAGCAGGCGAGAAAACUUUGCAAUGUGCGAAAGCACGACAAGGUUAAUCCGAGUGGUUUCUGCUAAAGGAACCUUUUGUCAGUCAUAGAACCACUGACGAAUAAGGGGUGGGCAAGUUCUGGUGUCAGCCGCCGCGGUAAAACCAGCACCUCAAGUGGUCAGGAUGAUUAUUGGGCCUAAAGCAUCCGUAGCCUGCUUUGUUAGUUUUCGGUUAAAUCCAUAUGCUCAACGUAUGGGCUGCCGGGAAUACUGCAAAGCUAGGGAGUGGGAGAGGUAGACGGUACUCGGUAGGAAGGGGUAAAAUCCUUUGAUCUAUUGAUGACCACCUGUGGCGAAGGCGGUCUACCAGAACACGUCCGACGGUGAGGGAUAAAAGCUGGGGGAGCAAACCGGAUUAGAUACCCGGGUAGUCCCAGCUGUAAACUAUGCAAACUCGGUGAUGCAUUGGCUUGAUGCCAAUGCAGUGCCGCACGGAAGCCGUUAAGUUUGCCGCCCGGGAAGUACGUACGCAAGUAUGAAACUUAAAGGAAUUGGCGGGGGAGCACCACAAGGGGUGAAGCCUGCGGUUCAAUUGGGAGUCAACGCCGGAA
rnacentral:rRNA from 1 species